UAUUCACUGUAGGAGCAGACGAGACGAGGGAAACGGGAGGCAGUUGAACUAUGCAAGGGAGGCUGGUGCCAAAUCCUGGGAUCACGAACCUUUCAAGGAUGCCACCCUCGCCAGGCUUAGACAAUCAUCUCGACUUUCAGAACUAAACCCGCGUCCUUCGCUUGCGAAUCGAAAAAGCCAUGUUAAGGGUGAGCACUCAAGGUGUACUAGUUAGUAUCCCUCUCAGGAUGAUCAUCCCAUUUCUACACGCACCACCACUACAUAUUUUACACUCAAUCGUGGAUGCUGGUGUUUUCUGUCUCAAACAUUUAAUAUGGAAGUGAUGCAACCCACCUUCAGGUCAAGCGGCGUAUCCGGUCUGCUGGUGCCGUCCAGGUGGAUAGCGGAGCGUGAGGAUCCGAGAGGGUUCUGAGCUUGACACUCGAAAAAGCCGUAAUCUUUGUUGGUGACGUUCU